CUCGCAAGAGGAGCGGCAGACGGGUGAGUAACGCGUGGGAAUCUACCGUACCCUACGGAAUAGCUCCGGGAAACUGGAAUUAAUACCGUAUACGCCCUUAGGGGGAAAGAUUUAUCGGGGUAUGAUGAGCCCGCGUUGGAUUAGCUAGUUGGUGGGGUAAAGGCCUACCAAGGCGACGAUCCAUAGCUGGUCUGAGAGGAUGAUCAGCCACAUUGGGACUGAGACACGGCCCAAACUCCUACGGGAGGCAGCAGUGGGGAAUAUUGGACAAUGGGCGCAAGCCUGAUCCAGCCAUGCCGCGUGAGUGAUGAAGGUCUUAGGAUUGUAAAGCUCUUUCACCGAUGAAGAUAAUGACGGUAGUCGGAGAAGAAGCCCCGGCUAACUUCGUGCCAGCAGCCGCGGUAAUACGAAGGGGGCUAGCGUUGUUCGGAAUUACUGGGCGUAAAGCGCACGUAGGCGGAUAAUUAAGUCAGGGGUGAAAUCCCGCAGCUCAACUGCGGAACUGCCUUUGAUACUGGUUAUCUUGAGUAUGGAAGAGGUAAGUGGAAUUGCGAGUGUAGAGGUGAAAUUCGUAGAUAUUCGCAGGAACACCAGUGGCGAA
rnacentral:rRNA from 1 species